UAGGUAGCAAUCUAUGUCAUGUGGGUGGU
rnacentral:piRNA from 1 species